AUACUGGGGCUAAUUUUAGGUAUUACCCGCUUUGGAGUUUAUUUUGGCUUCCAGAAGUUUACAUUUAGGUCUGUAAAAAAGCACAACCUGCAGAGCUGUGUGUGUGUGUGUGUGUGUGUGUGUGUGUGUGUGUGUGUGUGUGUCUGUCUGUGCAUGUGAAACUCAUCAAACUUCUUUAAUAACUCUGAAUAUGACUUGUUUGGGCAUAUUUUCAAUGGAUGGCUAAUUUUGUGCCAGAAUUCAAAUGGAAAUUUAAACCAAAAGAGCUUGCAGAUAAAUAGCAGAGAUUGCUUGCUUUUCACCCCAUUUCUUCUGGUGGUAACUUUUCAAUUGUGAUUUUUUUUUUUAACCCUCCAUAUUUUUUUUUUGCCAGACUUUGAUUUCUAAAGCUUUAUUUUUAGUCUUUGUAAGGCACAGCAUUGAUUGAGCAUGCUGUGUUCUAAUUUUGGUAGCAAUUUUGUAGGUUAGCUCAGUUUCAUAGAAAUUAGAAAGCUGGGGCUCAUGGAAGUGACUUAUUUUAUCCACGUAGCAGGGGGUGGCAGAGUGGAUGACGCCAGGGUCUGUGCUUCUUCAUCUCAAGGCUGGUGCUGUUUCCUUGGUGGGGCUCCAGGUCAAGUGUGGUCUGCAUUAAGGUCCUCCCUGGGGGAUGCUUGUGAAUGACCUGGGUGUGCACAGAGCAGAGUGGGGCUCCAGAGCCUGUACAUGUUGCUGGGUGUGCAGUAAACACACAGAAAACAGUAUAUGCCCACCCUGCUCGUGAGGAGGGAGUUGCUGAGUCUACACUCUGUGCCAUCUACCAUGCAAUUCACCACAGUAAUUUCGAAUAGCUUCUUGGGUCUUGCAUCAUUUGUGAAAGUGAAGCAAACCUUCCUCUACUGUACAGAGUGUCCAGAAAUAGAGCUCAUCAGAGUAACCCAGUUGACAUAAUGAGACUGUAAGCACACCAAGGGGAGUUUCUGGACGACUAGAGGACAUCUGAGGAGCACGGCUAAGCCCCAAACCUUCCUUAGGACUACUGUGAACCCCUAUACUUCUGCAGCUACAGUUCCAAAUUUCUGGGCUCCGUCCCAACAAAACGUCUAGAAAAAUUUGCUCUAUUUUUGAUCCUCGUUUUUUUUUUUUUUUUUUUUUUUUUUCUCAUUUCAGAACAGUGAUGGCUUUUCCAGGUAAAGCAUCUUGUUACCUUAUAAGUUUCAUUAAAUAGAUGGCCUUUGAACUAGACCUUGCAGAAUGGGUAAAAUUUAUUUUGGAAAAGAAGUGAAAGAGGGCUAUCAGAGAGUGUUUUCAUGAAUGUAUAAGCCUGGAAUCUGGAUGUCUUUGAUAAGGAGCGAUAAAAGGGUACAUUUGGGUGUGGAUUAAUUCACUUACUCAGUAUAUACAUAUAUAUAGAAACCACAAUUUGAUACGGGAAAUAUAGCAAAGGAUUAGACCUGGUCCAGCUCUCAUGAUGUUCAGAGACAGUGAUGGUUCCGGGGGCAGAGAGACGCAGUGGACAUCAAGAGGUGGGCUAAUUCAUUAUUUGAAGACUCUUCAAUGACACACAAAGGAGUUUGAAUUUUAUCCCAUCACUACUCAUAACAGCACUUUUUUUGACACUAAUCACAUGCUGGGCAGUAUUCACUAUUUAUUAUGUAACAACCUUAUGGUAUAGAGAGAUAUUUUACUGACAGGGAGACUGAAGCAUGGAGUAGGUACCUAACUUGGCUAAGGACUCAGAGCUAAUAAGAGGUAGAGUCAGGAUUGAGUCCAGGUAUUUUGGCUUCAGAGUCUAUAGUCUUAUCAUUUGUAAAUAUAUAAUAUGUGGCUAAAGCGAAGCUUUUUUAUAUGAAAAAAGUAAAACAAGGUUAAUGAUGUUGGGAAAAAUCAUUGGAAGAUGCAGCAGUGUGUAUCAGAGCCUGGACUAGACUCCACAAGGCUUUAGGUCCAUUGCUGCUUCUGCUCCACAUAGAGUGUGCACUAGUGUGCAAAAACUUUGUGGAUGCACUUGGAUAAAUUAAGAGAAAUAUGUUUACACUACAAGAGGUGGUAAUGCUGCAGUCCUUUUUUUUUUUUUUUUUUUUUUUGCUUUUUAGGACCAAACCCAUGGCAUAUGGAAGUUUUCAGGCUAGGGAUUGAGUCGGAGCUGUAGAUGCCAGCGUACGCCACACCCAUCACCAGAUCCGAGCCAUGUGUUUGACCUACACCACAGCUCACAACAAUGCCAGAUCCUUAACCCACUGAGCAGAGCCAGGUUCAAAACUUGGAUUCAUUUCUGCAGUGCCACAAGGCUUGCUGCAUUCUUUUGUGCUGGUGAGACUAAUAGUGAGCAGUGAGAGGGUUCAGUUGUGUCUGUCUUCCUCUCCGAAUACAUCAGCUGGGGCCCAAAGUUAACAUAUCCAAAGGUAGAAAUGGUUUGUUUUUGUUGUUCCAAGCAAGGUCAAACUUGCAGAAAGGUGCGUUUGGUUGGGUGAGGAUGACCCAGCUAUCUCGAUGUCCUUUUACUAAUCACGGCAUACGAGGUGGUAGAGUCACAAAAUACCUCAUCGUCAGCUGCCUUAGAGACUAGCUUGACCUGCCCCAGGACUCGAUCUACUGUGAAAUGCAUUCAGGCACAGGGAAUAUCAGUGCAAAAACCCCAGGAUUUAUUCCUCUCUAAAAGGUGGCUUGGAGGAUGUCACACGUAGAAAGUGGACUGAUUCAUUUCCACUCCCAGCAUUGUUUCAAUCGAGCUUGGCACAAAGAUGAUCAAUGCUGACUCAGAGCUAUGUCCAGAUGGAGAGAGAGCCUUCUAAACUAUCACAUCCAACCCAGUCCUGGUCUACCACUCCCCCUCGAGUCUCUAGAAUCCUCACUGUCCUAUCUAUAGGGUGCACCCAUUCCAGAGGAUAAGACUCCACUCAUAUUUGGUCCUUUGCCUUCCCAGCAGGACCCCAAAACCCCCUCACCCUUUCAUCUAUGCAGACUGGCACAGAAGAAAUGAUUCUGAAAAAUAAACUAGCUAAUCAUUAGAUGAAAGCA
ensembl:lncRNA